CUGUUCCAUUCUCCAAUUUUGGACCCAUUGGGACUCCAGAUAACAGGGAUAGAAGGACUGCAGAUCGGUGGAAAACUGAUAAGCCAGCCAUGGGUGGGUUUGGCAUUGAUUAUCUCUCAGCAACGUCAUCCUCUGAGAGCAGUUGGCAUCAGGCCAGCACUCCGAGUGGCACCUGGACAGGCCAUGGCCCUUCCAUGGAGGAUUCCUCUGCUGUCCUCAUGGAAAGCCUAAAGUGUCCCUAACGACCGUGUCUGGACAUACAAUAACUAUUUGCUGAAUCACUGAAUGAAUGAACAAGUGAAGAGUGGACAUCUGUUAGGGAUUUAGGACUGAGAGGUGUAUAAACCUAGGAGCUGCAGUUCUAUCAUGCUGUGCCCUGAGGCCCCGGAAAGCAGAGGAAGCCAGACUACUCAGAGAGAAUGGAACAGAUGCCCAGCGAGGAGCAGAGACAAGAGACACAGAAACUUUUCAGUCUCCGGUUCCAGCCUUUCCUGAGCCCCAUCCAAAUUCCUGCCCCAAGCUUAGACCCUUGCAAUAAAUUUCAGUGUUUGCUUAA
rnacentral:lncRNA from 10 species